GUAUAAGAGACAGCAGCAGCCACGGUAAUACGUAGGGUGCGAGCGUUAAUCGGAAUUACUGGGCGUAAAGCGUGCGCAGGCGGUUUUGUAAGACAGGCGUGAAAUCCCCGGGCUCAACCUGGGAAUGGCGCUUGUGACUGCAAAGCUAGAGUGCGGCAGAGGGGGAUGGAAUUCCGCGUGUAGCAGUGAAAUGCGUAGAUAUGCGGAGGAACACCGAUGGCGAAGGCAAUCCCCUGGGCCUGCACUGACGCUCAUGCACGAAAGCGUGGGGAGCAAACAGGAUUAGAGACCCCAGUAGUCCCUGUCUCUUAUAC
rnacentral:rRNA from 1 species